AGCAGCCGCGGUAAUUCCAGCUCCAAUAGCGUAUAUUAAAGUUGCUGCAGUUAAAAGCUCGUAGUUGAAUUUCGGGACCAUCAUGUCGGUCGUGCCUCGGUACGUACUGGCAUUGUUGGUUUCUACCUUCUGACGAACCAUGAUGUCAUUUAUUUGGUGUCGUGGGAAAUCAGGACUGUUACUUUGAAAAAUUGAGUGUUUAAAGCAGGCUCACGCUUGAAUACAUUAGCAUGGAAUAAUGAAAUAGGACGUUUGAUUCUAUUUUGUUGGUUUCUAGGAUCGACGUAAUGAUUAAUAGGGAUAGUUGGGGGCAUUAGUAUUCAAUUGUCAGAGGUGAAAUUCUUGGAUUUUAUUGAAGACUAACUACUGUGAAAGCAUUUGCCAAGGAUGUUUUCAUUAAUCAAGAACGAAAGUUAGGGAUCGAAGACGAUCAGA
rnacentral:misc_RNA from 1 species